rnacentral:rRNA from 1 species
UACGUAGGGCGCAAGCGUGUCCGGAAUUUAUUGGGCGUAAAGAGCUCGUAGGUGGCUUGUCGCGUCUGCCGGUGAAAGCCCAUGGCUUAACUGUGGGUCUGCGGUGGAUACGGGGCUGGCUAGAGGUAGGUAGGGGCAAGCGGAAUUCCUGGUGAGCGGUGAAAUGCGCAGAUAUCAGGAGGAACACCGGUGGCGAAGGCGGGCUUGCUGGGCCUUACCUGACGCUGAGGAGCGAAAGCGUGGGAGCGAACAGG